AAUUUUGCACAAACGCUUGCGUUUGAACAUCAGCUUUGCUGAUGGCUCGAAGAGCGAACGUAGUGAGUAAAUUUUUGCUCU
rnacentral:ncRNA from 1 species